rnacentral:siRNA from 1 species
UGGAAGCCUCGGUAUUUCGCCU